rnacentral:rRNA from 1 species
UACGAGGGGGGCGAGCGUUGUUCGGAAUUAUUGGGCGUAAAGGGUGCGUAGGCGGUUUGGUAAGUCUGAUGUGAAAUCUAUGGGCUCAACUCAUAGUCUGCAUCGGAAACUACUCGACUAGAGUACUGGAGAGGGAAACGGAAUUCACGGUGUAGCAGUGAAAUGCGUAGAUAUCGUGAGGAACACCAGAGGCGAAGGCGGUUUCCUGGACAGUUACUGACGCUCAGGCACGAAAGCAUGGGGAGCAAAAGGG